CCUUCGGGAGCUGUUACAGGUGUUGCAUGGCUGUCGUCAGCUCGUGUCGUGAGAUGUUCGGUUAAGUCCGCUAACGAGCGCAAACCCCGGCCGUGGUGUGUUACAAGUGUCACACCAUACCGCCGAUAUUAAGUCGGAGGAAGGUGCGGAUGACGUCAAGUCAGCAUGACCUUUAUAUCCAGGGCUACACACACGCUACAAUGGUCGGUACAACAGGUUGCCAAGCCGCGAGGCGGAGCCAAUCCUCUAAAGCCGACCUCAGUUCAGAUUGCAGGCUGCAACUCGCCUGCAUGAAGUUGGAGUUGCUAGUAACCGUAGGUCAGCUAUACUGCGGUGAAUACGUUCCCGGGGAUU
rnacentral:rRNA from 1 species